rnacentral:rRNA from 1 species
GAUGAACGCUGGCGGCGUGCCUAAUACAUGCAAGUCGAGCGAACAGACGAGGAGCUUGCUCCUCUGACGUUAGCGGCGGACGGGUGAGUAACACGUGGAUAACCUACCUAUAAGACUGGGAUAAAUUCGGGAAACCGGAGCUAAUACCGGAUAAUAUAUUGAACCGCAUGGUUCAAUAGUGAAAGACGGUUUUGCUGUCACAUAUAGAUGGAUCCGCGCCGCAUUAGCUAGUUGGUAAGGUAACGGCUUACCAAGGCAACGAUGCGUAGCCGACCUGAGAGGGUGAUCGGCCACACUGAAACUGAGACACGGUCCAGACUCCUACGGGAGGCAGCAGUAGGGAAUCUUCCGCAAUGGGCGAAAGCCUGACGGAGCAACGCCGCGUGAGUGAUGAAGGUCUUCGGAUCGUAAAACUCUGUUAUUAGGGAAGAACAAAUGUGUAAGUAACUAUGCACGUCUUGACGGUACCUAAUCAGAAAGCCACGGCUAACUACGUG